UUUCCGUAGGUGAACCUGCGGAAGGAUCAUUCAUAAUAAAGUGUUUUAUGGCACUUUUUAAAAAUCCAUAUCCACCUUGUGUGCAAUGUUAGAUCUCGUCAAUCUUGGCGAGAUUUUUAUACAUCAACUCAUUCUUUAACUAAUUUGUCUGAAAAAUAUUAUGAAUACUUAAUUCAAAAUGCAACUUUCAACAACGGAUCUCUUGGCUCUU
rnacentral:misc_RNA from 1 species